rnacentral:misc_RNA from 1 species
GAAAUGCGAUAAGUAAUGUGAAUUGCAGAAUUCAGUGAAUCAUAGAAUCUUUGAACGCACCUUGCGCUCCUUGGUAUUCCUUGGAGCAUGCCUGUUUGAGUAUCAUGAAAUCUUCAAAGUAAAUCUUUUGUUAACUAAAUUGGUUUCUACUUUGGUAUUGGAGGUCUUUGCAGCUUCACACCUGCUCCUCUUUGUUCAUUAGCUGGAUCUCAGUGUUAUGCUUGGUUCCACUCGGCGUGAUAAGUUAUCUAUCGCUGAGGACACUGUAAAAGGUGGCCAAGGUAAAUGCAGAUGAACCGCUUCUAAUAGUCCAUUGACUUGGACAAUACUUUUAUGAUCUGAUCUCAAAUCAGGUAGGACUACCCGCUGAACUUAAGC